UACGAAGGGGGCUAGCGUUGCUCGGAAUUACUGGGCGUAAAGCGCACGUAGGCGGCUUUCUAAGUCGGGGGUGAAAUCCUGGAGCUCAACUCCAGAACUGCCUUCGAUACUGGAGAGCUCGAGUCCGGAAGAGGUGAGUGGAAUUCCGAGUGUAGAGGUGAAAUUCGUAGAUAUUCGGAGGAACACCAGUGGCGAAGGCGGCUCACUGGUCCAUUACUGACGCUGAGGUGCGAAAGCGUGGGGAGCAAGCAGG
rnacentral:rRNA from 1 species